UACGUAGGGACCAAGCGUUGUUCGGAUUUACUGGGCGUAAAGGGCGCGUAGGCGGUCGUGACAAGUCACUUGUGAAAUCUCCGGGCUUAACUCGGAACGGUCAAGUGAUACUGUCGGACUAGAGUACAGAAGGGGCAACUGGGAAUUCUCGGUGUAGCGGUGAAAUGCGUAGAUAUCGAGAGGGAACACCUGGCGGCGAAGGCGGGUUGCUGGGCUGACACUGACGCUGAGUGCGCGAAAGCCAGGGGAGCAAACGGG
rnacentral:rRNA from 1 species